CAAUCAGCUUGGUCAUCAGUGAUGAUACCUCUUCUGUAGUCAUUUCAAAAAUGGCUGAGUAGUAGGCCUAGGCAAUGGAUAUCUAUAUGUUAUCCAUAGAAGCAACCUUGAGAAUAACGACGUCACCAUUAUACAUGAUUCUCAAUCAUGUGGUUUAGUCUCUCAUUUGAGUUCGGAUCGUGAUGAGACCUUGAUUCCCUGGCUUGAGCUAUCGCCCCAUUAGUGUCGUAGUGAGUGUCGGUACACUAGAGACACUUUCUGGUUGGAACCGAAUAGAGAGUUCAUAAAUUAACUUUCCCAUCCAAACAACAUUGUUGUAAGCUUCUAUAUGGCAAUAUAUUUUGCAUUCACAAUGGAACACACUAAAGUCAUUACUUUUAAUGUUUCCAUCCAAAUAUCUCUUUUAGUCAUAAUAAAGAGAUAUAUGAUUAUCUCUUCAUUCAUAAUGAAGAAACAUCCAAUGAUGGAUUAGAUUCAUAAUCUAAUACAUUUACGCUUCCAUUACGUUACUCUAAUUCUUCCUCAUUCUUUGAGGAAUCUAUCCUUUAGUAUUUCUUAAAUACUCAAGAACUCACUUGACAGUUGCCAUGGUUCUGAUCUUGGGCUUGCACUGAUAUCGUCUUGUACCUUUCUAGGUACAACUCAUAUCAAUGUUUUUCAUACAAUAUGAAAUACAUAAAUCAUCUUUCUGCGUAUGCAUAAAGGAUUCUAUUUACGCAUUAUUUCUUUAGGAGUCAAAGGGUACGUUCCCUUUGAGAAGGGCAACUUGCUAGUCUCACUAGAGUUGUCCUUCUAAUUGAAGUUUAUCAUCAUAUGAGAAACUUCCUAGCAUCUCUUGUCUAUUAUUAGGGAUUGAUAUAAUCGAAUUAUAUCUUAAAAUAUAUAAUUAUAGAUUUCUAUCCCAUGUAUUUAGACUAUAUCUCCCAUAUACAUUCUAUCGUUAUAGAAUGUUUAAAGUCAUAACUUUAACGAAGAAGUAUUAUUUUGAUUUCCAAAAUUAAUAUAUCAUAUAUAUAUUCAAAUUUAGGAAUUUGAUUAACUCCCACUAAUCUUUUGUAAACCUAGUAAACAAAAGAUUCAUUCACAUCUUUAUGAGAAAUCAAACGAUUUGAUCUUUCUCUCAUAAGACGCUUAUAGCUCCCACUAGCUUGCUAAGAUCCAUGAUGGAUGGAUCUCUACAACUUACAUGUCUUGUGAUUCAUAGUUUUAGACAUAUAUUAUCAAGACUAUCUUAAUAAAUGGUUUCGGAAACCCAUAUUAUGUCCAAAUAUUGAAUCACCAUUUAGUUGUAGCUAGCAAUCUUCGAAUUAAUUGAAACUAAGACUACGUCCAAGAUGGUUUCUUCAAAGUCAACAAUUCUCUUUUAUUGUAGUCACCUUAAGCUACCAAUUAGCUAUAAAAGUUUCAUUAUUUCGGGUCAAAUGGUACUUUACCAUUUCCUUGAGUAUAUGUCGUAUAUACACUCAAUGUAGUAAUAAGGAUUUUCAUUCUUAUUUCUUUCGAAUUAAGAGGUGUAACUCUAUGACAUAGUCAUAAAGUUCAAACCAUUCAACUGAGAUAGUUUAUAAAUCCUUCUCGACUACCUUGGAGCUUGUGGUGUAGGAACUAGGUUGCUAUAUUUGUUGAUUAUCAUCUUGUCUCUCAAAGAACCCAUUCUUUGAGUUCUAUCUCUUGUU
rnacentral:lncRNA from 1 species